GUGCUCGCUUCGGCAGCACAUAUGCUAAAAUUAGAAUGAUACAGAGAUUAGUGUGACCCCUGCGCAAGGAUGACACACAGAUUCGUGAAGCAUUCCUUAUUUUU
ensembl:snRNA U6 U6 spliceosomal RNA